rnacentral:rRNA from 1 species
UUCGUGUGAACAGUGGUUGAUCACGAGUUAGUCGGUCCUAAGUUCAAGGCGAAAGCCGAAAAUUUUCAAGUUAAUAAUAAAAAAUAAGUAACAAUGUAUUAAAUUUAUGUAAUUUUAUGUAUUAUGCACUUGAAUAAUUUUGAACGAAAGGGAAUACGGUUCCAAUUCCGUAACCUGUUGAGUAUCCGUUUGUUAUUAAAUAUGGGCCUCGUGCUCAUCCUGGCAACAGGAACGACCAUAAAGAAGCCGUCGAGAGAUAUCGGAAGAGUUUUCUUUUCUGUUUUAUAGCCGUACUACCAUGGAAGUCUUUCGCAGAGAGAUAUGGUAGAUGGGCUAGAAGAGCAUGACAUAUACUGUUGUGUCGAUAUUUUCUCCUCGGACCUUGAAAAUUUAUGGUGGGGUUACGCAAACUUCUCAACAGGCCGUACCAAUAUCCGCAGCUGGUCUCCAAGGUGAAGAGUCUCUAGUCGAUAGAAUA